rnacentral:rRNA from 1 species
UGGGGGAUAUUGCACAAUGGGCGAAAGCCUGAUGCAGCGACGCCGCGUGGGGGAUGAAGGCUUUCGGGUUGUAAACCUCUUUCGCUAUCGAACAAGGCCCGCUUAGGGUGGGUUGAGGGUAGGUGGAGAAGAAGCGCCGGCUAACUACGUGCCAGCAGCCGCGGUAAUACGUAGGGCGCGAGCGUUGUCCGGAAUUAUUGGGCGUAAAGGGCUUGUAGGCGGCUUGUUGCGCCUGCUGUGAAAACGCGGGGCUUAACUUCGCGCGUGCAGUGGGUAAGGGCAGGGUUGAGUGUGGUAGAGGUGACUGGAAUUACAGGUGUAGCGGUGGAAUGCGCAGAUAUCUGGAGGAACACCGAUGGCGAAGGCAGGUCACUGGGCCAUUACUGACGCUGAGGAGCGAAAGCAUGGGUAGCGAACAGG